UGGCCCCUAAGCUGUCCUGCUGCCCCAGAGUCCAGCUGCCUUGUGCUGGGCUGUCCUCUUCUGGAAUGGGCACUGGGCCCCAUUUAUCUCUGAAGAACAAGACCACACUUGCCUGGCAUGCAGAUGUGUGCGUAGAAUUGACACGGAAGUCCCCGCUGACCCAAUGCCAAAUGGGCGAUAUCUGGGAUCCCUGGACAAAGACCCAACCAACCAUGGGGUCAAGGAGAGGAGGUGGAAGCCAUGUGCAGAGGGGAAACGGGGUUGAAAGCUGUAAUUUUAUAAAAGCCUAUCAGCUUGCCAGAUAUGGAUUAUUCAGAAAUAGGACUAAAGUGACUGUCAGGUAAAGAAGCAUCUUCCAGUGAUUAACUCAUCCUAAUGUGUGUGUCAAGGUGGAAAGGAUCAAUAAAACGCCUAAAAGAUUCAUA